rnacentral:rRNA from 1 species
UAGCCGUAAACGAUACUCGCUAGGUGUCGGCCACGGUGCGACCGUUGUCGGUGCCGUAGGGAAGCCGUGAAGCGAGCCACCUGGGAAGUACGGCCGCAAGGCUGAAACUUAAAGGAAUUGGCGGGGGAGCACCACAACGGGUGGAGCUUGCGGUUUAAUUGGAUUCAACGCCGGAAAUCUUACCGGGACCGACAGCAACAUGAAGGCCAAGCUGAAGACUUUGCCGGAUUAGCUGAGAGGUGGUGCAUGGCGUAGACGUCU